GAAAUAUGUAAUUAACAAGAAAAAGCUGCUAACUUUUAUCUCUAAAGGUGGAAAUCCUUUUAUAUUUCU
rnacentral:tRNA from 1 species